rnacentral:rRNA from 1 species
CACGUAGGGGGCAAGCGUUGUUCGGAAUUACUGGGCGUAAAGCGCGCGUAGGCGGUUUGGAAAGUCAGAUGUGAAAGCCCCGGGCUCAACUUGGGAACUGCAUUUGAUACUGCCAGACUAGAGUACAGAAGAGGUGACUGGAAUUCCCAGUGUAGCGGUGAAAUGCGUAGAUAUUGGGAGGAACACCAGAUGCGAAGGCGGGUCACUGGGCUGAUACUGACGCUGAUGCGCGAAAGCCAGGGGAGCGAACGGG